rnacentral:misc_RNA from 1 species
UGGUUCCAGCAUCGAUGAAGAACGCAGCGAAUUGCGAUAAGUAAUGUGAAUUGCAGAAUUUAGUGAAUCAUCGAGUCUUUGAACGCACAUUGCGCCCCCUGGCAUUCCGGAGGGCAUGCCUGUUCGAGCGUCAUUACACACCUCAAGCGCAGCUUGGUCAUGGGUGAUUUUUGUCUCGUUGAGACACACCUAAAAGAUAGUGGCAGUGUCAGCCUGUACACGAGCGCAUUAAAUCUUUUACUCGCUCAGUGACUGCUUGGCUGACAAUUGCCGGCCAAAACCAAUGGGUGCUAUGCACCCCCUAGAUAUUGACCUCGGAUCAGGUAGGAAUACCCGCUGA